UUUUGUUGGAGAGUUUGAUCCUGGCUCAGGACGAACGCUGGCGGCGUGCUUAACACAUGCAAGUCGAGCGGAAAGGCCCUUCGGGGUACUCGAGCGGCGAACGGGUGAGU
rnacentral:rRNA from 1 species